GGCCGCGUGGCCCAAUGGAUAAGGCGUCUGACUUCGAAUCAGAAGAUUGUGGGUUCGAUCCCCAUCGUGGUCA